AUGUCAGCUAGAGCCAUAGAGAGCGGGGAAGGCCAUGCCUUGGGCUCCCUCCUGCUAGAAUUGCUGCAGGAAGGUGAGUGCCCUUGUGGAAGCUCGCGAGGGUGGGUGGCCCAGACUUGGGGUUCCUGGGCGGGCAGCGGGGGUCUGGGUUCUGGCCUGGGGCUGCCACCAGGUGCCCUGGGCCCAUCAAUCCUCUUCCCCCUGGGCCUCAGCCUCCUGCUCUGUGCAGGCAGGACCUCCAGCUCUCCACUGGUGCUGGGCCUUCCUCUCUCUGUCGUCUCCUUGGUUCACCUCCAAGCACCCUUGACACCUCUCAGCUCAGCUUCCCCUGAGGUGCCCUCCCUACAUCAGAGAUCCGGGGGGCUUCAGGAAAGGGUGGAGGGGGCUGUGUGGGGUCUCUCUUCUCCCAGCUGCCCGCACCGCUGUGCGCUCCCCCAUUAUUUCUUUCUUCCAGAGGAAGAAGAACCUUCCGAGUCAAGCAACCAGACCUCCUAUGGCUCUUCUCCUGGGAAGCCACCAAAGGGACCACAUCAGGGACGAGAUGACUUUGGUUCUGACCCCAGAGAUCCACCCAAUUUCUACCAUUAUGCAGGCAUGACGGCAGCUGCUGUGAUUGGAGGAGUCGUGGCCGUGAGGGCUGUGCCUGAGUUGCUGGACACCGUGGGCUUCACCAGAACAGGAAUCUCCCGCUCCUCCUUAGCAGCCAAGAUGAUGUCAUCAACUGCCAGAGCCAAUGGGGGCGGAGUUCCCUCUGGCAGCCUAGUCUCCAACCUCCAGUCCAAGGGGGCAACUGGACUUUCCACACCAACCAACAUCCUCCUGGGAUCUGCUGGGGCACUUUUGGGGGCCUUGCUGUGGGAUUCCUACAGCUCCUCCAGGGCAUCAGGAUGUCAGUCUCCCAAAUGA
rnacentral:lncRNA from 1 species